rnacentral:rRNA from 1 species
UACGAGGGGGGCAAGCGUUGUUCGGAAUUAUUGGGCGUAAAGGGCGCGUAGGCGGUGCGGUAAGUCACCUGUGAAACCUCUAGGCUCAACCUAGAGCCUGCAGGCGAAACUGCCGUGCUUGAGGGUGGGAGAGGUGCGUGGAAUUCCCGGUGUAGAGGUGAAAUUCGUAGAUAUUGGGAAGAACACCGGUGGCGAAGGCGGCGCUCUGGACCGAGACUGACGCUGAGGCGCGAAAGCCAGGGGAGCAAACGGG